rfam:Oryza rufipogon genomic scaffold, chr01
AAUAAGUGCAGUCAUGAGUUUCAGCGCCCAACCUUGAUUAUCCAUCUUAUUUGAAAUUUUUUUAUAAUUAGCAAUUUUGUUGUUAUAAGAUAAUAAAACAUGAGUACUACUUUACUCGUGACUUAUGUUUUUAAUAAAAAAUUUCAAAUAAGACGAGUGGUCAAAGUUGGGCGCGGAAAACCAUGGCUGCAGUUAUU